UUUACAGUAUGAAAAUUGGUGAUUUAUAAUAACUUAGCAAAUCGCAAAGUGAAAACAGGCGAUAAAUCAUUCAAGUUUCUGACCUAUCAGCUUUCGACGGUAUGGUAUUGGCUUACCGUGGCAGUGACGGUUAACGGGGGAUUAGGGUUCGAUUCCGGAGAGGGAGCCUGAGAAACGGCUACCACAUCUAAGGAAGGCAGCAGGCGCGCAAAUUACCCAAUUCUAACAGUUUGAGAGAGGUAGUAACAAGAAAUAACAAUACAAGGCAGUUAAAAUGCUUUGUAAUUGGAAUGAUAGAAAUUUAAACCCUUUUUAAAGUAUCAAUUGGAGGGCAAGUCUGGUGCCAGCAGCCGCGGUAAUUCCAGCUCCAAUAGCGUAUAUUAAAAUUGUUGCAGUUAAAAAGCUCGUAGUUGAAGUUCUGCUAAAAGUAACCGGUCUGCUUUGAAUAAAAGUGGUAUCUUGGUAUGUAUUUAGCAAUGAUGUCCUUUGAAGUGUUUUUUACUUUAUUGUAAUAAAGCAUAUUCAGGACUUUUACUUUGAGAAAAUUAGAGUGUUUCUAGCAGGCCAACGCUUUGAAUACUGCAGCAUGGAAAUAAUAAG
rnacentral:rRNA from 1 species